rnacentral:rRNA from 1 species
CACUCCUGCGGGAGGCAGCAGUGGGGAAUAUUGGACAAUGGGCGCAAGCCUGAUCCAGCCAUGCCGCGUGAGUGAUGAAGGCCCUAGGGUUGUAAAGCUCUUUCACCGGUGAAGAUAAUGACGGUAACCGGAGAAGAAGCCCCGGCUAACUUCGUGCCAGCAGCCGCGGUAAUACGAAGGGGGCUAGCGUUGUUCGGAUUUACUGGGCGUAAAGCGCACGUAGGCGGACUAUUAAGUCAGGGGUGAAAUCCCGGGGCUCAACCCCGGAACUGCCUUUGAUACUGGUAGUCUUGAGUUCGAGAGAGGUGAGUGGAAUUCCGAGUGUAGAGGUGAAAUUCGUAGAUAUUCGGAGGAACACCAGUGGCGAAGGCGGCUCACUGGCUCGAUACUGACGCUGAGGUGCGAAAGCGUGGGGAGCAAACAGGAUUAGAUACCCUAGUGGUCCCAUG